rnacentral:misc_RNA from 1 species
GAACAGGCAGAAUAUGUCAUUCACAGCACCAAACAACCUGGGGACGAGGGGGCUCUGGUUGGCCGCCGAGUAGGCGAGGGCGCCGGCGGGGCCCAGGCUGACGGUGACCGCGUCGGCGUGCGCUCCGGCGAAGCCCUUCAUCAGCGCGCCCGCGCCGCCGGCCGCCACGGCGCCGCCGGCCACCGGCGGGCUCCGGAGGCCCUCCGGGCACUUGGCCACCGUCGGAUCAAACACCGCCAACAUCCUCGC